GUUUGAAACAAAAAUAAGUCCUUUUUUGCAACCCAGAACUCAUUGUUUGGUAUGAGUUUUGAUACAUUAGAGAGGGAAUCUU
rnacentral:snoRNA from 1 species